UAGUUCCAAAAAUUAUAAUUAAUUGAGAUUGAAAAUUUGGCUAAUUCACAAGCUAAUCCAUAUAGAUGAAAUGGUACGAUACAAUGUCAGAGCUAUAAAGUAUACAGAAUAUGUUGUUCAACCUAGCUAAAUGUAGAUCGAACAACAAAAUCAUACCACAACCCGCCCUAUAAAUGCUAUCUUCGGCUAAGCUCAAAUAACAAAUUCCAGCCCUAGAAAUUAAUCCAGGAAAACGUUUAAAAUAAAUCCUAGCACAACCGGCACCGACCAUGCCUACGCCGCCGACCACCCCGCACGGACAUGCCAGUGCCGCUCGCAGGGGCCUGCUGCAUGACAGGGCCUGCC
rnacentral:lncRNA from 1 species